CCUACGGGAGGCAGCAGUGAGGAAUAUUGGUCAAUGGACGAGAGUCUGAACCAGCCAAGUAGCGUGAAGGAUGACUGCCCUAUGGAUUGUAAACUUCUUUUAUAUGGGAAUAAAAUGUUCCACGUGUGGGAUUUUGUAUGUACCAUAUGAAUAAGGAUCGGCUAACUCCGUGCCAGCAGCCGCGGUAAUACGGAGGAUCCGAGCGUUAUCCGGAUUUAUUGGGUUUAAAGGGAGCGUAGGUGGAUUGUUAAGUCAGUUGUGAAAGUUUGCGGCUCAACCGUAAAAUUGCAGUUGAAACUGGCAGUCUUGAGUACAGUAGAGGUGGGCGGAAUUCGUGGUGUAGCGGUGAAAUGCUUAGAUAUCACGAAGAACUCCGAUUGCGAAGGCAGUUCACUGGACUGCAACUGACACUGAGGCUCGAAAGUGUGGGUAUCAAACAGGAUUAGAUACCCCUGUAGUC
rnacentral:rRNA from 1 species